rnacentral:rRNA from 1 species
UACGAAGGGUGCAAGCGUUAAUCGGAAUUACUGGGCGUAAAGCGUGCGUAGGCGGUUUGUUAAGUCUGCUGUGAAAUCCCCGGGCUCAACCUGGGAAUGGCAGUGGAUACUGGCAAGCUAGAGUGUGUCAGAGGAUGGUGGAAUUCCCGGUGUAGCGGUGAAAUGCGUAGAGAGUCGGAGGAACAUCAGUGGCGAAGGCGGCCAUCUGGGACAACACUGACGCUGAGGCACGAAAGCGUGGGGAGCAAACAGG